AUACUUGGGUGAGAGUGGUCC
rnacentral:misc_RNA from 1 species